rnacentral:rRNA from 1 species
GAUGAACGCUGGCGGCGUGCCUAAUACAUGCAAGUCGAGCGAACAGACGCGGAGCUUGCUCCUCUGACGUUAGCGGCGGAAGGGUGAGUAACACGUGGAUACUCCACCUAUACGACUGGGAAAACUUCGGGAAACCGGAGCUAAUACCGGAUAACCUGUUGAACCGCAUGGUUCAACAGUGAAAGACGGUCUUGCUGUCACUUAUAGAUGGCUCCGCGCCGCAUUAGCUAGUUGGUAAGGUAACGGGUUAACAAGGCAACGAUUCGUAGCCGACCUGAGAGGGUGAUGGGCCACACUGGGACGGGUGCUCGUUCCAGACUCCUACGGGAUGCAACAGUAGAGAAUCUACCGCAAUAGGCGAAAGCCUGACGGAACAACGCCGCGUGAGUGAAGAAGGUCAUCGGAGCGUAAAACACUGUUAUUAGAGAAGAACAAAUGUGUAAGUAGCUAGGCACGUCUUGACGGUACCUAAUCAGAAAGCUACGGCUAACUACGUA